GACCAGACUCCUACGGGAGGCAGCAGUGGGGAAUAUUGCACAAUGGGGGAAACCCUGAUGCAGCGACGCCGCGUGAGCGAUGAAGUAUUUCGGUAUGUAAAGCUCUAUCAGCAGGGAAGAAAAUGACGGUACCUGACUAAGAAGCCCCGGCUAACUACGUGCCAGCAGCCGCGGUAAUACGUAGGGGGCAAGCGUUAUCCGGAUUUACUGGGUGUAAAGGGAGCGUAGACGGCUGUGCAAGCCAGAUGUGAAAGCCCGGGGCUCAACCCCGGGACUGCAUUUGGAACUGUGUGGCUGGAGUGUCGGAGAGGCAGGCGGAAUUCCUAGUGUAGCGGUGAAAUGCGUAGAUAUUAGGAGGAACACCAGUGGCGAAGGCGGCCUGCUGGACGAUGACUGACGUUGAGGCUCGAAAGCGUGGGGAGCAAACAGGAUUAGAUACCCCCGUAA
rnacentral:rRNA from 1 species